UACGAAGGGGGCUAGCGUUGCUCGGAAUCACUGGGCGUAAAGCGCACGUAGGCGGCUUCUUAAGUCAGGGGUGAAAUCCUGGGGCUCAACCCCAGAACUGCCCUUGAUACUGAGGAGCUUGAGUCCGGGAGAGGUGAGUGGAACUCCGAGUGUAGAGGUGAAAUUCGUAGAUAUUCGGAAGAACACCAGUGGCGAAGGUGGCUCACUGGCCCGGUACUGACGUUGAGGUGUGAAAGCGUGGGGAGCAAACAGG
rnacentral:rRNA from 1 species